AUUGAACGCUGGCGGCAGGCCUAACACAUGCAAGUCGAACGAGUGGCGGACGGGUGAGUAAUGUCUGGGACACUGCCUGAUGGAGGGGGAUAACUACUGGAAACGGUAGCUAAUACCGCAUACCAUCGGAUGUGCCCAGAUGGGAUUAGCUAGUAGGUGGGGUAACGGCUCACCUAGGAGACGAUCCCUAGCUGGUCUGAGAGGAUGACCAGCCACACUGGAACGGAGAAACGGUCCAGACUCCGACGGGAGGCAGAAGUGGAGAAUAAUGAACAAUGGGAGCAAGCAUGAUGCAGCCAUGCCGCGUGUAUGAAGAAGGCCUGCGGGUUGAAAAGUACUUUCAGCGGGGAGGCGUUACCCGCAGAAGAAGCACCGGCUAACUCCGUGCCAGCAGCCGCGGUAAUA
rnacentral:rRNA from 1 species